AUGGGGGCAACGUCCUCCAGUUUACUGCAAUUUUCUCAAAUGAAUUCAAGUCCAACAUAUUCUUUAUACAUUUUGGAUGGAAAAUAUUUCACACUCUGUAUGCAAGUUGAUUUUUGGCAGAAUUUUGGAAUCAGCUGUAGUCAAAAGAUCCUAUUUAUUCAGAGUCUCACUGCAAUCCCUUCUGCAGUUGCCUUAUAUUUCAUGGAGUGGCUGAAGAGUAUAUGAUCAUCAGGUGAGUGAGAUACACAGGAUUGCUGGAAGAACCAGAGCAAAUAUGCAUUAGAGCUUCUGGAAGCACAGCAUGCCAAGUCACAUACUGCACUGCUCAAAGUCCACUGGAAUUCUGAGAAACAGGAAACAACACUAAAUUUACCCUGAAAAUCCCUGUUCUUCAGACAUAAACAAAGUUCUACAAUCUGCCCGGCCUUCUGUGAGUCAUCUCUACAUAGUACUCUUUAAGGAAAACUUGACUUGACUAAAACACAGUGUCCAGCAAAUAUCAAACUAAUAAUGAAUACAUGUUCCAUGAGCUAUUGUAAAGUCUUAUGUAUUUCACUGGCUGUGAAACACUCCACCCCAUGAACUGAGCAUAAGAUGGGUGGCCAGGCUUAGAAGUGCCUCAAGCCUGGCUUUGCAAGGUGGGCAGGAUGGCCUUCCCAUUCUGUAGGACACACUCAGGACUGAAGUCCUGCCUUGGCAGGAGUGUCAGCCCAGAAUGCCAGGCCAGCUCAAGGCCCAUUUGAAUACUCAUGCAUACUGGCAAAGCUUUGCACUUCAGACUUCGUACACAAGGUGUACUUAGGCUGUCAGAUUAGGGGACAGAUUUCAAUUCGGAUGCUGGUGAUGCUCCUCUGGAGAGGGGAACUCAUGUGGUCCCUCUGCUCCAACUGCCAUUUUCUGCACUCCAUGUCUGCCCAUCUUUCUGCUUUUUUUUUUUAGUUAUAUUCCUUUGAAUUUAACUCUGUCAGUAUUAUUCAAAUAGAGCAAUUUAAGACAACUGGUCAGUAAAGUCAAGCCCUAAAAGAAUAUUAUCCUGUUUCUGAUGAACCACAUGUAGGAGGAGUGACAGGAAUAAAUAGUUUCAUCCUAUUUUAUAUUUCCA
rnacentral:lncRNA from 1 species